CCUACGGGAGGCAGCAGUGAGGAAUAUUGGUCAAUGGGCGCGAGCCUGAACCAGCCAAGUCGCGUGAGGGAAGAAGGUCCUAUGGAUUGUAAACUUCUUUUGUCGGGGAGCAAAAGUCGCCACGCGUGGCUUUCCGAGAGUACCCGAAGAAAAAGCAUCGGCUAACUCCGUGCCAGCAGCCGCGGUAAUACGGGGGAUGCGAGCGUUAUCCGGAUUUAUUGGGUUUAAAGGGUGCGCAGGCGGAAGAUCAAGUCAGCGGUAAAAUUGAGAGGCUCAACCUCUUCGAGCCGUUGAAACUGGUUGUCUUGAGUGAGCGAGAGGUAUGAGGAAUGCGUGGUGUAGCGGUGAAAUGCGUAGAUAUCACGCAGAACUCCGAUUGCGAAGGCAGCAUACCGGCGCUCAACUGACGCUCAUGCACGAAAGUGUGGGUAUCGAACAGGAUUAGAUACCCCUGUAGUC
rnacentral:rRNA from 1 species